CGUGGGGAGCCUCAUCCAACCUAGUUGGUUCUCCAGUGGCAGGCCAUCCUAGCAGCGGAGAGGACCAAUUACGCGACAUGGAAAUUGCCAUCUGCUUCAUGCUAGGCAGGUCGAAUUGAAUUGGCUCACCCACAAUAAUCUCAAUCUUCUUACAACACAAGGGAACAAGAGGUCUCCUCCUCGAAGCCACGAUGGACAAUGGGCAG
rnacentral:misc_RNA from 1 species